UGCUUCCCACUAAGCGCUUGUUUAUAGUCAAUAGCUUGACUUUGCAGUUGCUUAAUCAACAUGUGGGUCCUUAAGAUCCAAAGGCUUUUCUACUGGAAUCUCGGCUUCAGCCCAGUAGUGUUUGACUUUCUGUCCAUUCAUUGC
rnacentral:sRNA from 1 species